UCUCCCUGGAAAAAGGGUGGUAAUGCCGGAUGUUCCACAUGAUCGCAUGUGAUUGUGGGAAAGAUUCUAUCGGCGUGGGAUGGGGUCGCGUCCUAUCAGCUUGUCGGUGAGGUAACGGCUCACCAAGGCUUCGACGGGUAGCCGGCCUGAGAGGGCGACCGGCCACAUUGGGACUGAGAUACGGCCCAGACUCCUACGGGAGGCAGCAGUGGGGAAUAUUGCACAAUGGGCGCAAGCCUGAUGCAGCGACGCCGCGUGAGGGAUGGAGGCCUUCGGGUUGUAAACCUCUUUUGUUCGGGAGCAAGCCUUCGGGUGAGUGUACCUUUCGAAUAAGCGCCGGCUAACUACGUGCCAGCAGCCGCGGUAAUACGUAGGGCGCAAGCGUUAUCCGGAUUUAUUGGGCGUAAAGGGCUCGUAGGCGGCUCGUCGCGUCCGGUGUGAAAGUCCAUCGCUUAACGGUGGAUCUGCGCCGGGUACGGGCGGGCUGGAGUGCGGUAGGGGAGACUGGAAUUCCCGGUGUAACGGUGGAAUGUGUAGAUAU
rnacentral:rRNA from 1 species